GACGAACGCUGGCGGCGUGCCUAAUACAUGCAAGUAGAACGCUGUUGCGAACGGGUGAGUAACGCGUAGGUAACUGCCUCAUAGCGGGGGAUAACUAUUGGUAACGAUAGCUAACACCGCAUACUGUGAGAUGGACCUGCGUUGUAUGAGUCAGUUGGUGAGGUAAAGUCUCACCAAGGCGACGAUACAUAGCCGUACUGAGAGGGUGAUCGGCCACACUGGAACUGCGACACGGGCCAGACUCCUACGGGAGGCAGCGGUAAGGAAACUUCGGCAAUGGACGGAAGUCUUACCGAGCAACGACGCGAGAGUGAAGAAGGUUUUCGGAUCAUAAAGCACUGUUGUUAGAGAAGCGGUAUCUAACCAGAAAGGGACGGCUAACUACGUGCCAGCGGCCGCGGUAAUUC
rnacentral:rRNA from 1 species